UAUUAUGUAUAUAAUAACAUUUAUGGCGAAACUUUUUCCUUAUAUUAUUUAUAUUAGUUAGUACCGGGUAACCCGUAUUGUACCUCUGAACAUUAAACCCCGUCGGGAACCCCUAUUCAACAUUAGCACAGUUUGUAUCUGAACCAAUGGAAACUUGUGUAUAGAUCACGUGUCUACUUCUGUUAGAAAGUUUUGAUUGUUUGGACUUGUAGAAAGCUGUUGAAAUUUGAGAAAUCCAGUAAUUUUUUAUAGUUUGUGCAUUGGAGAUUUGCACUAAGUGUAAGUGACUUGGCAGUUUUGUUUUGUUAACUAGUACAUGUUAACAUCCUCGUGGGUUGAAUCAUUGGUACAGUAACUUUGUGCACUCGCUCAGCAGACGCGUCGCGUCAGUGACGAUGGCGGAUCAAACGUGCAAGCCGAUGGUGAUAGGACAUUCAUAUGUGCGCCGUUUGGAUGUUUAUUUGCAACGCCACAACAUAAUGAACUUACGUUUGGACAACGAAAAAUUCCAAGUUUCAUUACGGGGAAAGGGAGGUUUAUGUCUUAGACAUAUUCGUUUCGAUGCAAAAAUUCUGCACUUUGACACAACCCCCGAUAUAUGUUUCAUGCAGAUCGGUGAAAAUGACAUAUCGCCCCGUAGCGAACCAGGGAAAAUCUCAGAGGACAUUUUUUCGCUGGCUUGUUAUCUGCGCGACGGAGUUGGCGUAAAAAAAAGUUAUCGUUGGCCAGUUGUUGCGUCGGCUGCCAUAUGCGUCCUGUCCACGGUUUAACGAGAUGGUACAGUCAGUGAACCACUUGCUGAAAGAAAAGUUAUCGGACGUACAAGGGAUUGUGUUUUGGCCACACCGUGGAUUCUGGGAGUCCCUGUCAUACAUCGGCCCAGAUGGAGUACACCUGCUAUGUACUCAAGCCAAUGAUCAGCCCAUGAGGAAGUUUCUGCGGAGUAUACGCAACGUCAUAAUUAUUAACGCCAAAGAUCUCAGGCCAGUAUAAACACAUCAAAAAUUAAAUGCAAACUUGAGUUAUUUUAGGCCUUGUCUAUGUAGGCCAUGGGUGUUAUUGGUGUUUGAAACACUUUAAAAAAGCAUUCUUCAAUAUCUUCAAAGAAACAUUGGGUAUAAUGUUUAUUUACAUAAUUACAAAGAAGCAGUCGGUAUACUGUUUCAUUAUUAUUAGGAACAUUCACUAUAAUGUUUACAUAUUACCAAGAAGCAUUCACUAUAAUGUUUCAUUAUUGCAAGGAACCAUUCAGUAUAAUGUUUUCAGAAUUAACAAAAAGCAUUCAGUAUAAGGUUUACAUAAUUACCAGGAAGCAUUCAGUAUAAUGUUUCAUUAUUGCAAGGAAACAUUCAGUAUAAUGUUUACAUAAUUACCAAGAAGCAUUCAGUAUAAUGUUUCAUUAUUGCAAGGAAACAUUCAGUAUAAUGUUUACAUAAUUACCAAGAAGCAUUCAGUAUAAUGUUUACAUAAUUACCAGGAAGCAUUCAGUAUAAUGUUUCAUUAUUGCAAGGAAACAUUCAGUAUAAUGUUUACAUAAUUACCAAGAAGCAUUCAGUAUAAUGUUUACAUAAUUACCAGGAAGCAUUCAGUAUAAUGUUUCAUUAUCGCAAGGAAACAUUCAUUAUAAUGUUUACAUAAUUACCAUGAAGCAUUCAGUAUAAUGUUUCAUUAUUGCAAGGAAACAUUCAGUAUAAUGUUUACAUACUUACCCAGAAACAUUCAGUAUAAUGUUUACAUAAUUACCAGGAAGCAUUCAGUAUAAUGUGUCAUUAUUGCACGGAAACAUUUAGUGUGUGGUUGAAGAGUUAUAUAGAUAUAAACUAUAUAUCUGUCUAUAUUUUAAAGUAGCAGCAGGGUAGAGUGCAAGGCCUGUGCUAUAGAGAUACAUAAAAUGCAAUGUCUAUUACACUGAGAGGCAUUUUAGUAUGAUAUUCCAUUGUUAUCAAUUAACAUGAGUAUGAUUUAAAAUUAGGGAAAGGUUAGCGGUAUGACGCUACUAUUACUACAUAUUUCCCUGACACCUACUUAUGGUACUAUAUUUAUAUUCUUUGAUAACUAAAAACAGCCUCCAGAUUUGGCAUUAAGUUUCUUUCUAUCAAGUUAUAUUAUCUAUAUAUUAUUGUGCCUAGAGGUGUUCUUUGGGCUAUUGAAUUUCAGUCAAAUUCAGUUAUCAUGAACAAUAGCCCUUGUUGCGAUGUACAAGUCCAUUUUAUUAUACAGGAGAACUGUUUAUAUAUAUACUGGAUGUCAUGUGGUAUACUGUUUGGUGUUUACAGUAGUAUUAGUUUGCCAACUUUCUCACUCAUCAAGUUUGUUGGAAGUUGACAUGCCCCUUUUUCCUUGAUGCCCAGAUUUACUGUGGUUAAUUAUGUUUUAGCAAACAUGCCAAAGGGCAAAGCCACUUCAAGGAAACGACCAGCUUCACCCCGGCCCGCUCCAAAGAAGUCCAGUCGUCACAGUACACACAACCCGUCUGUGGAACAAGAGCCUGCAGAGUUGACACCCACCAUAGACUAUGAAAAACUGGCGAGACACAUCGUCCAGGAGCAGGCACGGGCCCAAAAUGCAAACGUUCCCCAGAACAGACGUCUCCCAAUUCACGGCACCAAAUGGAUGGGACUUGCGAGGACAUACCCACCACUUCCAACCAAGCCAUUUCGAGUGACAAUGUCACCACCAUCCUUGAUGCAGUAUUUCAGGGUGAGUCGGCACGCAAUCACACACCCAUUACAAUCAGUGAUAACAUACCCUUAGGGGCUACAGUCCCUAUGAAAACCAAGUGCAAAAUCUGGGCCAAUGAAUUUAUUGACCUCAGAACACUAUUGCCCAAUUAUACAGAUGAUCCCCUUUCAAUCACCAUAAAGGCAGGGAAAAUUGAUGUAAAGCAGAGCCAAAAACAAAAGUCUCCGCUCUCCAUCAACCAGUGGAUUGAUGCUUUUAUAACAUUUAUGUCCAUAUACCUUCAGAGAUAUCCAGCGGAGGCAUGCAAUCUCCUAAAAUACUGUGCAUACAUCAGGGAGAUUAGCAGAUUGCAUGUUGACGAGGCAUGGCGGGGAUAUGAUGAAACUUUUCGCAAGUUAAGAGAAUCCUCCUUACUUCCAUGGCAGCAGCCAGUACCGGAACUGAGUUUGCGGGUUGCUGCCAUGGGACCAAAAUUCUCAGAUAAGUCCCAUCCCCCAUAUGCUAAGAAGUCUAAUUUUCGUCCCCAAAAGGUGUGUUUCGCCUACAACCGGGGUGAUAAAUGUUCAGUCUCCCCAUGUAAAUAUGUCCAUGUGUGUCAGGAAUGUGGCAAUAGACAUCCCAGAACAAAGUGUUUUGCUAAACCCAAGCCCCAGCCACACCAACCAUCCCGUACCUCUUCCAACCCCAGUAAAACCAGCAAUACUACGUAAGGAGCUACUAGGUUAUGAUUCAAAUAAAUCACAAUACUUAGUUGAGGGAUUUUGUAGAGGGUUUAGGUUAGGUUGUGUAGGCGCACCCUUGGGAUCUUCACCACAGAAUCAUAAGUCAACUAGGGACCAUGUGGAGGCCAUUAAUGAGUACAUAUUGAAGGGAAUACAAGCACAACGAAUAGCAGGCCCCUUUGAUGAUCCACCUUUAACAAAUUUUGUUACAUCACCAUUAGGCAUUGUUCCCAAAUCAGAAGUAGGUAAAUAUAGAGUCAUUCAUGACUUAUCAUUCCCCGAAGGUCAGUCAGUUAAUACAUACAUUCCUCGUGAAAAUUCCGAAGUUCAAUAUGAUACGAUAGACAAAGUUAUUUCACUAGUACAAUAUUUUGGGUGGGGGGCUUUUAUGGCAAAAUCUGACAUUAAGGAUGCUUUCCGCAUAGUGCCCAUACAUCCAUCAGACUAUCAUCUUCUUGGGUUUACCUGGAAAAGUAAAUACUAUUAUGACUGCUGCCUCCCCAUGGGAGCCAGUAGCUCAUGCAAAAUAUUUGAGGAGUUAAGUCAGGCUCUGGUUUGGAUCAUGCUCAACAAAUAUCAUGCAUCGGGGAUAUCCCAUAUCCUUGAUGAUUUCUUUUUCAUUUCAUCCAGUGUCAAAAAAUGUCGGGAGGACUUAUCACGGUUCCUUUUUUUGUGUAACCAGGUUAAUAUACCUAUCAAUAUGGCCAAAACUGUUGCCCCUACAACACAGUUAAUUAUAUAUGGCAUCGAAGUUGAUUUUCUCGCCAUGGAGUGUAUGUUACCCCAGGAGAAAAUUAUAAAAAUUAGCAGCAAGCUCAGUGAUUUCUGUCAUCGGAAGAAGGUACACCUAUGUGAAUUACAAUCCCUUAUAGGCCUGUUAAAUUUUGCUUGUACAGUGAUAGUGCCAGGUAGGGCUUUCUUGCGACGCCUUAUCGAUUUAACUUGCAAUAUCUCAAAGCCCUUCCAUUUUGUUUAUCUCACCAAAGAGGCACGUGCUGACCUAAGUAUGUGGUUCCAGUUCAUCUCGCACUUCAAUGGAAAAUCAGUUUUCCUCCCUCAACAAUGGGACUCCUCUGAUUACAUAAGUCUGUACACGGAUGCGUCAGGGUCAAUUGGCUUUGCGGCAGUGUUGGGAUCACACUGGUUUGCGCAGUCUUGGUCGAAAGAACUUGAUCAUUUCCAGAUUGCAAUUAAGGAACUCUUUCCCAUUGUCUUGGCUUUAGAAAUAUGGGGAGGACAAUUACAAAAUAGAAGGAUUCUUUUUCUAACCGACAACAUGGCAAUAGUACAAAUCAUUAACAAACAAUCUAGCAAAGACAAAACUAUCAUGAGACUUAUCAGGAGGCUUGUGCUUGCUUGCCUUUACAACAAUAUUCACUUCAAAGCCAAACAUAUUAGGGGAAAAUUGAAUGUAAUUGCAGAUAAGCUAUCUCGUUUUCAAUUCCAGGCAGCUCGGCAGCUAGCACCGUAUCUGGAGGAAUGUCAGAUACCCAUUCCACAUUCUCUUCUACACAUUUAGCACAUGGGGCACGGACACUUUUAUCUGCAUCCUUGGCAUUAUCAACUCAAUUAGCAUACCGGCGAUCAUGGCAACUCCUGCAUACAUUUCAAGAUUGAGACAAAGGGUUUAGAAUUUCAACGGAUCGUGGUGGUCAGUGGAGUAUUGAGUUAAAAAGCCCUGAUUUUACAACAAAAUGGCAAAUGUUACUGAAAUAAAAAUCCAAGGCUGUCAACUGAAUACGUCCUUAAACUGUUACCCUCAUGUUGAACAACAAAACAAUUAUUCAAUACCUCUCAUUACCUUAUCUAUGUUUGUUGGAGUUCUGGCUCUUGUGUUCAACAGUUGUAUAUUAGUUCUUAUUGUGAGGGAAAAUAAGAUUAGGCUUAACCUGUACCACUUCUUAGUUCUUAUGCUGUGUGUGAGUGAUUUUGUGGUAGGGCUGGCAUUCGUAUUUGCUAUCCUACGCCAAUUGCUUCCAGCUGUUAGGACAAGCAAAGUUUUUGCGGUAUUGAACAGUAUGUUAAUGACAUUAGGAGUCUCUCUGUCGCUCUAUCAUACCUUUUUGAUUAGCUUACAAAGGUGUUUGGUAAUUUGUAAAGAAAAAUGGAACAAUUUCGUUUUUCAUGAAAACCGAAAGUACAUUGUGUAUGUUAGUGGUUGGAUCGUCAUAUUGAUAAGCAACUGCCUCUUCAUUUCACCGCCCCCGGAUUCACCUACUGGUGACAUAAUAUCAUAUGCCUAUAAUGGUCACUAUAAUGCAUUCUCAAUAUAUAUGAGGUCUUUAACACUGGCUCUCCUAUUUUCCACAGUGCUUCUGUACGCAAGAACUAUUGUAUAUAUGUUGAAGACAUACAGUCCCAAUAAGCAAUCCAAUGCUUUACAAGUAAUUAAAACAAUCGACAUUCACAUGACAGAGCCACAUGCCUCUAAAAACACAUGUACUUCGUCAUCUCUGCCAGCUCAGGUCAAAGUCAAACCAAUGAAGUCGCGCGGUGAACAGUCUAAGAUCGAUACACUUAGACGUAAAAAGGUUAUGAGUACAUUGUACCUGGUGGGUCUCUUGAUCACCCUCCUCCUGAUUUUUACAGGACCAUUUCUUGUAACACAGCCAUGGCAUGAUACAUUGUCCAUUAGAUUUAAGGGUAUAUUGUUUUGUUUGUGUUGCAUAAAUUCAACGUUGAAUCCCAUCAUAUAUGUGUGGAAGCUGGUUGAUAUCCGGGGAAUUGUGAAAUCAGCACUGUUUUGUUCCAAAACGUAAAUCCAAACGUGCACACAAAUGUAGAUAUUGGCAAAUUGAUUGUAGAUAUUGGCUCAUUCCCUUCAAAAUAGGCAAUGAUGUGCGGAGUGCAAAAGCAAAUGGUGACUAUCGUUUAAGAUUGGAUGCUACUUGAAAAGAGUACCAGUUUCACAUUGGAAUACCAAUUUUGUAGAUACUUAUCUGCAAUUGCUCCUGGAUUGUAACACACUAUGCGUACAUGUAUAUUGUGUAAUAUACCGGUAUCACAACAUUUUUCUAUAAUCAACAUCAAAACUUUACACGACCAUUCCUCACCAUGAAUUAAAGAUCAACAAAAAUGGAAAAAGGAAACAUCAGUUAUCCAAAAAUUAGUUUGUUACACACCACUUUGAUUUCACCUACAAGUAUUCUGCAAGUUGAAAGAAAAAAAAAUACACUGGAGUUCCUCAUUGAAAAUAUUUUCGUACUUUUUAGUGAUCAGCUCUUCCAACAACCCGCUGGAAGUCCCAUUGGCACGGAUUGUGCUGCUUUGUCAACUGGUCUGUUUUUUAUAUUCUUAUGAAGCAGAGUUAUCAAAAAGCUUCCAAGUGAGAAGAAAAAGUUCUUGCUGUGGCCUUCAGCUCGACACUUAGAUAUAUCAACGACGUUUUAUCUAUUAACAAGAAUAAUUUUCCUUUAUAUGUUUAUUCAACAUAUCCUCGUGAACUCGAAAUGAGAGACAAAGCAAAGUCCUCAACAUUUGCUUCCAACUUAGAUGCUUUAUUGAAAAUGAAUAUCAACGGCAAACCAACAACUCAAAUUGUGACAAAAGAUAUGAUUUCAGCUUCUCCAUCACCAACUUCUGUUUUUGUUAAUGCUCUAAGUCGUCAGUAAAACCUGUCAUUUUGUCAAAUGCUGUCUGACGUAUUUCAUACCGAUUUUAAGUCGUUCUUGGCACACUGAUUUUGACUACGGAUUACUCCGCUUAUCUGAUCAAGGCAGGACUUACGACGGGGUGUGACCAGUCGACAGAGAAUGCUUACUCCUCCUAGGCACCUGACCCCACCUCUGGUAUAUGUAUGUCCAGGUGUCCCUGUUUGUCCAACUCUUUAUUUUGUAUUCCUUAUAGGAGUUAUAAGAUUGAUCACUGUUCGUUAUUUACACCUUUAUAUGAGCUAUACGAUUGAUCACUGUUCAUUAUCUUCACCUUUAUAAGAGUUAUAAGAUUGAUCACUGUUUGUUAUUUUCACCUUUGAUUUGAUUGACAUAUUUGACCUAGAUAAGAGUGCAGACAUUCUAACUAUAAAACGAAGUUUGUCUGAAUUCAGUAUAGAGAGGAAGUAACACACGUUUUGUCCUAACACUGUACGUUCUAGAAUAGAAGGCUGUGGAAAGUUAAUGUUAGUAUAGUAGAAUGUCUGUGUUUAUCAAUUUUGUAUUCUUUAUAUUAGGUAUGAUAUUAAUCGCUCUUUGAUAUUUUUACUUUUUUCACUGUAAAUUGUGUUGUUAGAAGUACUCGUUAAGCAUUCGUUAAGCAUUGCACGGAAAAUCAUUUUGACUUUGCUAUGUGGGUUUUGAAUUGGACUUAAUAACCAAUUUGUGACAGUUUAUAUUUUCGUGUAUAAAUUCAGCUCGACGAUAAACCAGCAUUGGACACCGUGUAUGUGAACUUUGGUGAGGUGUACUGUGUGUUUGUUAAUUCAUUCAAUGGUGUAUUUUUCUGUAAAUAAAUGUGAAUAAAUUGUGAAAUAUU